rnacentral:rRNA from 1 species
AGCAUGUGCGCGAGUCAUUGGGAUUUUUGCACUAAACCUAAAGGCGUAAUGAAAKUAAAGAUUCUCCUCGCGAGAAUCGAGGGAGGAGGGGUGCGUCGUCGUUCAUACAGCAGCGGCCGCCUCGCACUCCCGGGGCGUCUCGUUCUCAUCGCGAGAAGAGGCGCACCAAGAGCGUACACGCUGGGACCCGAAAGAUGGUGAACUAUGCCUGGUCAGGACGAAGUCAGGGGAAACCCUGAUGGAGGUCCGUAGCGAUUCUGACGUGCAAAUCGAUCGUCGGAACUGGGUAUAGGGGCGAAAGACUAAUCGAACCAUCUAGUAGCUGGUUCCCUCCGAAGUUUCCCUCAGGAUAGCUGGCGCUCGUAGCGUACGAGUCUCAUCCGGUAAAGCGAAUGAUUAGAGGCAUUGGGGUCGAAACGACCUCAACCUAUUCUCAAACUUUAAAUGGGUGAGAUCUCCGGCUUGCUCGAAUACAUGUAUGCCGAUUCGUGCGCGCGCGCUAAACACGCGAGCGCGCGGUCGGUAGUGAAGCCGCGAGAUAUAUAUUAUAUAUAUAGAUGACGGAUCAGAGUGCCAAGUGGGCCAUUUUUGGUAAGCAGAACUGG